rnacentral:rRNA from 1 species
AUUGAACGCUGGCGGCAGGCCUAACACAUGCAAGUCGAGCGGAUGAAGGGAGCUUGCUCCUGGAUUCAGCGGCGGACGGGUGAGUAAUGCCUAGGAAUCUGCCUGGUAGUGGGGGAUAACGUCCGGAAACGGGCGCUAAUACCGCAUACGUCCUGAGGGAGAAAGUGGGGGAUCUUCGGACCUCACGCUAUCAGAUGAGCCUAGGUCGGAUUAGCUAGUUGGUGGGGUAAAGGCCUACCAAGGCGACGAUCCGUAACUGGUCUGAGAGGAUGAUCAGUCACACUGGAACUGAGACACGGUCCGGACUCCUACGGGAGGCAGCAGUGGGGAAUAUUGGACAAUGGGCGAAAGCCUGAUCCAGCCAUGCCGCGUGUGUGAAGAAGGUCUUCGGAUUGUAAAGCACUUUAAGUUGGGAGGAAGGGCAGUAAGUUAAUACCUUGCUGUUUUGGCGUUACCAACAGAAUAAGCACCGGCUAACUUCGUG